AAGAAAUGUUCGACCUGUUUGGAAGGUUGGGAGAUUGGUGAGGAGGCAAGGGAGAUGCCCUGUAAGCACAGAUUUCAUUCAAGUUGUAUAGAGAAGUGGUUAGGGAUGCAUGGGUCUUACCCUCUUUGCAGGUUUAAGAUGUCGACGGAUGUAGAGGAGUGUAGGAAGAGAGGUAGUGGUGAUUGUGAAGGGGAAGGUGAAGAUG